UGUAUUCGUCGCAUCCAAACACCCUUCGCUGAUGCCAAAAUUUCUAAACCAAUUUCUUAUCCACCAGCUGUCAAGGAUUUGAAUUUGGCCCAGCCGCGAUCUGCUGCUCAACGUUUAACCACUUCCGCCUUAUCUUCUCCGAUUCGUUCGUUUACGCUGCCAUGGCGGCGCCUUUCUCCCUCCGCCACCACUGUCCGCUCCGUCCUACGCCUCCCUAAGUCCUUUCUUUCAAACCGAGCACUUGAAUGUGGACGAUAAAGCCAGUACCACACUUUUUCAUUGGCUUUAAUGCUUAAGAUGCUACUGAUCUGUUAGGAUCGCACAACAACACGCACACUCGAUCAACAUGAACACAAAAGAACAGGAGAGAAACUUCAAUGAGGAAUAUUGGUUAAAGAUUUUAUGGAUGAUUUCAGGUGGCAAUGAGAAAUAUAAGAAGCGAUGCUUUGAAAGCGUAUGAAAAACUGGAAAAGGUGAAAAAACUUUGGGAAGAUAAUGUGAGAGACUUGUCAAGUGAUGUGCAGAAUCUGACUCUGAUGACUACAUGAAGGUUGAUGGCAUAUACAAACAGAAAGAGAGGAGCUGUUGAAGCUGUGAGACCACGUGCGUUGCGCUCAAAAGGCAUGAUUUUCAGUAUGUUGUGACUUGGAACAAACGAUAGAUUACUCUGUAGAGAAAGAGAAAUAACAAUUUUUUCCGAAACAUCAAUAGAUUGAAAUAAAAAGAAGAAAUUUGCUUGUCUGAAA